UCUUUGAACAACAUGGGCAAAUCAAUAAAAUAACUUUGUUUGCGCAACUCCUUCCUCUUUCACCGACUGUCGUCUCACACUCUCUUCUUCCCUCCCACCACCUUACACCCAAAAAAAAAAAAACUCUCUUUUCUUCAAAUUCGCUUCUCUCAAACACAAAGUCAAUUCCCACAUUCCCAAUUCCCUGUAAAUUCCGUUUCCUCAGAGCUUCUUUCUGUCUGAGCUGUCAUUUCCCUAUAUAUUAUUCAAAACACCCUCCCAAAAUUGUUGAAUAAAAUAAAAUUAACCAAAGUUUCAAACUUUCCCAAAUUUGUUUGUAAAUUCAAUCUGUUUUCGUCUUCUUUUUUUAUUUGAGCUGAAUGUAAUUGGGGAUUGCUCAAUUGGGAAUGGAGAACAGUGGAGAAGCAGUAGAUGAUGAGGGCUCUGGAUGGUUCGAAGUGAAAAAGAAAAAUAGAAGUAGCUCAAAGUUCUCUCUACAGAGUUGGGUUGGGGGAUUUUCUGGAAAAAAUGCUUCUAACCAUUCGAGUAGUCAGACCUCAUCAAGUGAAAACAGUGGAAAUUCUUGUGGCAAGCGCAGAUCCCAGCUUCCAAAGGUACGAGAAAAUUAUGUGGUACAUAGCCGGGGAAUUGAUUCUAUUCCUGUCCCAAAUGAAAACAAAAUGGGUGCGCCCUAUAUUAAUACUGGUGUUAUUAGGCAAGAUACUAGAUGUCCUAAGUCACCUCCUUUUAUUAAAAAUUCUGAUGGUGGAACUAGAGAUGUUGAGAAAAUCCCUGCAAAAGAUAAUUCUGAAGUGGUUCAUAAAAUCAAGUGGGGUGAUCUCGAUGAUGAGGGUUUGGCACUUCCUCAUGCUAACCUUGUCGGCACCAGAAUCAAGUUUGGUGCUAUUGGAGAUGAUAAUCUGGUGGCCUCUAGUGAGCAUGGAAUUGGUCAUAAUUUUGCUUCUUGUGCAAAUUCACAAGAAAACACAUUGGUGGCAGAAUCUGUGGAUGCACAUAUUGUUUCUCAUCAGAUGUUUUCAGUGACCGCUAAGGACCAAUUACGUGAAGAUAACUGUAAGGAGGUGAAUAUAAUAUCUUCUCAAAAUGCUGAAGAGCCAAUAUUGAAUGGGAAAAAGGUUGAUCUGGAUAACAAUGUUUUGCAUUGCAAGGAUAUACAUACUGAACACAUCGAAGAAGUAGUUGAUGAUCAUUUAAGCGCCCGUACUUUAGCUGGUGAAGAGGCUGGGGUAGUGGGGAAACUUCAGGCACCUGUUAUUCUAUCUGAGGUAGGUGACCCUGAAAUUGCUGAAGUAUCAGGGAAAAUUGGGGGUUCAAGUGAAGUUCAUAUUGCCAAAGAUAAAGGAUUAGUUCCACCAGAGAGUGAUCCUGAAAUUUUGGGAGUGUGUACCUUCACAGCCUCUGUUGAGGAUGAUGGGGAUCAACAAUGUGGUAUAAUACAUGAUAUGUCAAACUCACAAAAUGUGAGUGCCCUUGGAGACGACACAGGGGAAAGCAAAGAAAGGUUUAGGCAGCGGCUUUGGUGCUUUCUUUUUGAGAAUCUUAAUAGGGAUGUGGACGAACUUUAUCUUCUUUGUGAACUAGAAUGCGAUUUAGAGCAGAUGAAAGAGGCCAUUCUUGUUCUUGAAGAGGCUGCCUCUGAUUUUAGAGAUCUAAGCACCAGAGUGGAAGACUUUGAGAAAAUAAAAAGGUCAUCUUCUCAGUUGAUUGAUGGGGUGCCGGUUACGUUGAAGAGUGAUCAUCGUAGGCCACAUGCUCUCUCAUGGGAGGUUAGAAGAAUGACAACUUCGGCACACAAAGCAGAGAUACUAUCGUCAUCUCUCGAGGCUUUUAAGAAAAUUCAACAAGAAAGAGCUAGCUUGUGUGCGGCUAAUGAUGCUAAACUUCUGAGCCCUCAGUACCCAAAUCUCCGAUCUGGUGAUAAGCUGAAUAAGUCAUCUGCAAUAAAUGAUGAGAAAGGCAAUGCUAAAGAUUCGAUAAAGAAGUUGAGAAAACAGAGUGGAGGUUCAGAUCUCGGUGAAGCUGACCUGAAUGGAGGAAAAUGGAGUACUGAGUCAUCGAGCAAAACAAACUUAGUACAAACUGAACGUGCCCCUAAGAAUUCAUCUACUUCUGUUGUUAAUGCAUCUAGGCUACCUCCUAGGGACAAUUCUGCUGCUGGAAAGACUAAGAGUAAGCAGUCUGGAUCCGAAGCAGAGAGGCUGCUCCUUAAGAAAGAAAAAUUGAUUAUAGAUGGUGUUGUUGAAAAAUUCCCCAGAUUGACGGAUCAGUCCAAAAAGCAAACUCCUCUAGUCGAGAAAGAUAAAGGAAAGAGGAAUUCAGCUCCAUGGAACUCCAUGGAUGCUUGGAAAGAGAAGAGGAACUGGGAGGAUGUACUCUCAUCUCCUUUCCGUGUCUCUUCUCGUGUUUCACGUUCACCUGGCAUGAGGAGGAAAAGUGCCGACCGUGCACGUAUGUUGCAUGAUAAACUAAUGUCUCCUGAAAAGAAAAAGAAAACUGCUUUGGAUCUGAAGAGAGAAGCAGAAGAAAAGCAUGCCCGUGCUCUGAGAAUCAAAAGUGAGCUAGAUAAUGAGAGAGCUCAGAAACUUCAUCGUAAUUCUGAAAAGGUGUAUCGAGCUAGUGAAUUUCAUGCUGUCCGCAACAUGAAGUUACGAGAAGGAAUAUAUGCUCGUCAUCAACGCAGUGAGUCUCGCCAUGAAGCUUUUCUAGCUCAAGUAGUAAAGAGAGCUGGUGAUGAAAGCAGUAAAGUUAACGAGGUUCGUUUCAUAACUUCCUUAAAUGAAGAAAAUAAAAAACUUAGUUUGCGCCAGAAGCUUCAUGAUUCAGAGUUGAGGAGAGCUGAAAAACUUCAAGUUAUAAGAACUAAACAGAAAGAGGAUAUGGCAAGAGAAGAAGCUGUUUUAGAACGGAGGAAACUCAUUGAAGCUGAAAAGUUGCAGCGUCUUGCUGAGACACAGCGGAGAAAGGAAGAGGCUCAAGUUAGAAGGGAAGAGGAGCGCAAAGCAUCAAGUGCAGCACGUGAAGCAAGGGCCAUGGAACAACUUCGUAGGAAGGAGGAAAGAGCCAAAGCCCAGCAGGAGGAGGCUGAACUUCUGGCCCAGAAAUUGGCUGAGAGACUUAGUGAAAGUGAGCAACGGCGCAAGUUUUACUUGGAGCAGAUACGAGAGAGAGCGUCUAUGGAUUUCAGGGAUCAAUCUUCCCCUUUAUUGCGUCGAAAUCUGAACAAGGAGGGUCAGGGAAGAUCAUCAAUCAACAGUGGUGAUGAUUAUCAAGGUAGCAGCUUCUCAGGCUUAGGAGGGUCUACUUUAGUGGGAAGCAAUGUUACAGCACAACAUUCAAUGAAGCGGAGGAUCAAAAGAAUUCGGCAAAGACUUAUGGCUCUAAAAUAUGAAUUUCCUGAGCCUCCUGUUGUUGCUGAAAAUGCUAGCAUUGGAUACAGAACGGCACUGGGAACUGCAAGGGCAAAGAUUGGAAGAUGGCUUCAAGAACUUCAAAGACUCCGGCAGGCAAGAAAAGAAGGGGCUGCAAGUAUUGGGUUAAUAAUUGCUGAAAUGAUCAAGUAUUUAGAGGGAAAGGAGCCAGAACUGCAGGCUUCUCGCCAAGCUGGUUUGCUUGAUUUCAUAGCCUCUGCCCUACCUGCUUCUCACACGUCGAAACCUGAAGCCUGCCAAGUGACAAUACACCUUUUAAAGCUUUUAAGGGUGGUGUUAUCUGUGCCUGCAAACAGGAGUUAUUUUCUCGCACAGAAUCUCUUGCCUCCUAUCAUUCCGAUGCUGUCAGCAGCCCUUGAGAGCUACAUUAAGAUAGCAGUAUCCUUGAACCUUUCUGGUAAUGGUAAUUCUCUAUCAAGCAAAACCUCAGCCGAAAAUUUUGAAUCAAUAUCUGAGGUGCUGGAUGGUUAUUUAUGGACUGUGACAACAAUUGUCAGUCAUAUAAGUUCUGAUGAACAACAGCUCCAAAUGCGGGAUGGCUUGCUUGAGCUGUUGACUGCCUACCAAGUUAUUCAUCGGCUGCGAGAUCUCUUUGCACUUUAUGAUCGGCCCCAGGUGGAAGGGUCACCAUUUCCAUCUUCAAUUCUCUUAAGUAUAAAUUUAUUGGUUGUUUUAACAUCCAGAUCUGAAAUGAAUUGCUCUAUCGAUUGGAAAUAUGUACCUAUUGAAACAGUGGUAGGGAAUGGAAGUGAAGAGGCUAAAUUUCCAGGGGGUGAUAGUACUGAAGAUCUUCCUCUAACUCAGUCCUUGGGAGAUUCUAGACCUCCAUUAUCUGUGCAAAAUGGUGGUACAGUUGUACAUCUACCAGAUGUACCAGAGGAUGGUCCGUUAGAUGAAUCAUGUAUGAUAAAUAAGUCUACUGAGGCAGUAUCCACUGGUAAGGAUAGUGAAAAAGAGCAGUCUAAUAGUUUGGUUGAAGCAAGAAAUGAUAACACAAUCAAGACAGAUCUUCCAGAUGAAACCCAGAAAUUUCCAAGUGAGGAUACUCUGGAGCCUUUUGCAUCACAGAAGGAUGGGAAGCACUUGGUUGAUAAUGGUGCAGUACAAAAGAAUGAAAUCAUCGUGAGCUUGGAACAACCAGUAGCGUUUCUUCUUACUGCUGUGUCAGAGACUGGGCUUGUCAGCCUCCCUUCUCUGUUGACAUCUGUGUUACUGCAGGCAAACAAUAGAUUGUCUUCUGAACAGACUUCAGAUGUCCUUCCCUCUAAUUUUGAAGACGUGGCAACUGGAGUACUGAAGGUGUUGAACAAUUUGGCUCUUUUGGAUCUUAAAUUCAUGCAGAGAACGUUAGCUAGGCCAGACCUGAAAAUGGAAUUUUUCCACUUGAUGAGUUUCCUUCUGUCCCAUUGCACCAGCAAGUGGAAAGUAGCUAAUGAUCAGGUGGGUUUUCUUCUGCUUGAAUCUCUUUUGCUCCUUGGCCACUUUGCCUUGUUCCACCUUGGGAAUCAGGCCGUCCUUCGCUGGGGAAAGAGUCCUACCAUCAUUCACAAGGUAUGCGAUUUACCAUUUGUAUUCUUCAGUGACCCUGAGUUGAUGCCAGUCUUGGCUGGCACCCUGGUUGCUGCCUGCUAUGGGUGUGAGCAGAACAAGGGCGUGGUUCAGCAGGAAAUCAGUACAGAUAUGUUACUCUCCUUGUUACGAUCUUGCAGAAAUAUCUUGCCAGCAGUUAGAUCCAAUUCAAACUUAGACACUUUCCCAGCGGAUGACGUUCCUCUAAGAUCUGGACGUAACAAUACCAAAAGCACUAAGGUUUUUUUGGGAAAGGGUGGUGGUUCAGGAAACAGCAUGAGAAUUGGCAAGAUGAGAAGCCACAGAGAAAGCAAAGUAACAAAGAGUUAUGAAGAGACGGCUCUGAAGCAUAAUCUUCCAGUCUCAGAAACUUCCUCUAUGAUGCUGCAUUGUAGAUUUCCUAUCAGUUUCAUUGAUAGAGCAGAAGACUUCUUUUCCAGUGGGACCCCCUGAAUUGGUGAAGUAUGAGCUCGCACGGCGCAUGGAUAGAGUAUCCUUAUGACAGAGAACAUCUUAGGAUUGCAUGACAAUUAGUCCAGAGCUGCUCAAACCACCCUGGCCUCUGGCAAUGCAAUUGUAUGUUCCGACAAGUCCAACAAGUGGGGUUAUCAUCUGGAGUUGGAGCACGUGCCCUGUUUGGCUAAGCAGCAUCUGCAGGACGUGGAAGCCAGUGGCGAGUCCAAGAUUGCGGCCAGAGCUCUGCUUCCACAUCACAUCAUACGGCUGAGCUUGUGGAAGAUGAAUAUGGUCAUGUUGGGCAAGCGGCUGAGCUUCAUUGGAAGGCAAUUCUGGAAGACAUGAUGAUCAACUUUUAAAAAGCAAGGCAAUAGACCCGAGAAACGGAAUUUGAGCCACUUGUCAAACUCUUUGUUGUAGUGGACCGACUGGUCACAAAUUUUAAUUAACCUUGAGGGAGCGAUUCGUGAUGUAAUUCAAUUACAUAUGAUUAUACUCAUUUUUAGCUCAA